rnacentral:rRNA from 1 species
UGGGGAAUUUUGGACAAUGGGGGAAACCCUGAUCCAGCCAUCCCGCGUGUGCGAUGAAGGCCUUCGGGCUGUAAAGCACUUUUGGCAGGAAAGAAACGUCAUGGGUUAAUACCCCGUGAAACUGACGGUACCUGCAGAAUAAGCACCGGCUAACUACGUGCCAGCAGCCGCGGUAAUACGUAGGGUGCAAGCGUUAAUCGGAAUUACUGGGCGUAAAGCGUGCGCAGGCGGUUCGGAAAGAAAGAUGUGAAAUCCCAGAGCUCAACUUUGGAACUGCAUUUUUAACUACCGGGCUAGAGUGUGUCAGAGGGAGGUGGAAUUCCGCGUGUAGCAGUGAAAUGCGUAGAUAUGCGGAGGAACACCGAUGGCGAAGGCAGCCUCCUGGGAUAACACUGACGCUCAUGCACGAAAGCGUGGGGAGCAAACAGG